GCCAUAUGAACUUCAUAACGCAAAAAACGAUAGUGUGGCGUUUACAGCAUGUCCGGAAAUAACCAGAUUCUUCACCAGAGUAAAAGUAGAAAUACCACUAAAAAUACUCCAUUACAGUGUGCUCUUCAGCAAAGCAGAAAUACUUAAAAACAACAACAACGACGUUGCCUCGCUGCGCCCACGGAGGACUGACAUCAGAGUGUUUUAGGUACCUGACAGCUCCCUAAUGAUUUCUUUUGGCUUUCCCAUCCUCGCCUGUCUGCUAGCAAGUAAUUAUGGCCCAACUCAGCACGGAUCAGUCUUUCAGCGCAGCAUCGUAUGCUUGUGUGCGUGUAGGUGUGUGUCAAAAUCACACCUUUGAUUAAUCCCAGUUAUGUGCAUGCUUGCACAUUAAAUGGCACGCCAACCAAAGAAAAAACAACACUGAGAAGCCAAAAGAGGAUAACACUGAGUGUAUUGUUGUUUGAAUUUUGGCCAGGCAAAGAUCCAUGUUUGUGAUUAUUUUUUUUCUGAAAGCAAGAGACGCUGAAUGAAAAAUAAAUGAAUACCUAAAAAUC